GCGGUUAUUGUGAUGUUAUUUGUUGUGAAAGACGGCCCGAAAUUUCGCUACUUCGCAGUACUGGUCGCAGUACUGGUUUAUAAAACAUUUACAAGCAACAGCAAUUGAACUAUAUGACAAAGAAACCAAUGUAUACAAGCCAAUCAAGUUCUUCAGUUUAAAGGUUUAAAGGUUUAUAAAACAUUUACAAGCAACAGCAAUUGAACUAUAUGACAAAGAAACCAAUGUAUACAAGCUAAUCAAGUUCUUCAGUUUAAAGGUCUGUUUACUUUUUUUAAUAAUUAGUUCAUUUAGUUGUACAUUAAUACGAAGUGCUGGAACAGUACGCCUAGUCACAGAAUAGGGGUUAGCACUAUUUUCCAUCCAGCAAACUGACCUGACGUCAUUUUCGCAAGAUAGAAGAGGUGUUAAAUGGUUAUGUAACUAACCCAAACCCUACCCCUACUCUAACCCCUAACCUCAACUCUAACCCUAACUCUAACCCUAACCGAAUUAAUAAAAAAAUCCAAAAAGAAACGACUUUACAAAAUCGAUAGGGCGGUUUGCUGGAUGGAAAAAAGUGCUGACCCAGAAUAGGAAGGUAUACCCAUUGAACUAAAAAUAACUGGAACGAUACCUCCAGUCGGAAAUGUGAAGCCAUGCCCAAGCAUGCCCACUGUUGUCAUGCCCAGUCUUUUCACGUAACGGAAAUGAACGCGGGUUUUUUAAAUUUCCAAAACUGGGUAAAAAAAAUGCACUAAAACAUGAUUUAAAACGACGUAAAAUGCACCUACCAGUACAUUUUUUACAAUAAAAACAUCCUUCAAAACUCUAGAGUAAAAUAUUUUUAAUUUAUUUGUGUAGAAUUCAUAAUUAAAUUUCCUUUUUUGAAAAAAACGUUGAGCGAGGAGUGGAGCUUGCCGUGGUCUAAUCAUAAGUAUUUGUGUGAAUUUCCCUAUUUUGCUCAUUCGUUUUCCAAUUUAUUCAUCUGAAAGUUAGGGAAAAAGGUAUUCUAACAAGAUCAAACUACCUUGUGUGAAUUUCCCUAUUUUGCUCAUUCGUUUUCCAAUUUAUUCAUCUGAAAGUUAGGGAAAAAGGUAUUCUAACAAGAUCAAACUACCAAGUUUAAUUAUGUUUUGUAGUAGAGUAUUUAUUAAGUUUUAAAGGUACAAAAUAACAAAUAUAAACAUUAAAGACAUUAAGAAAGUUUUUUUCGCGGACAAGUAUUUCAUGUCGCGAUUAUUCACAUUCGGCAAGAAAUACACAGAACAAGUCGUCAACGGAGGCAAACAAAGUGAUAGAUACAGAUUAAAUAAACUUAUCUUGUUUAACAAUCAAUGAAGUUGUUAUAAAUAUAUGUUUAAUACGUUAAGAUAAAGAAUUACUUAUCUUUCUCAAGUUUCAUCUGCAUAUAAACGUUCCAGUCAUUCAAAUAUGCAGAUAUAGACAGAUUGUCUUCACUUAAUCAGUGGCUCAGCUGGCUAGACCUUGAUUCUUGCCUGCGGUCCCCCUUUGCAUUUGACCCAAAUGUUUUGGUCAUUUUAUAUUUGCCAAUAUAAAUCUUUUUGGCAUAGAAAUUAUACAUUUGGAAUAAUAAUUUUGUAUGCUGCAUUCAAUCUAUUCUCCAUUCAGGGAGAUUCUUUUGUAAACACCCACACCAAUCAGAAGUCUGUAUUUUUAUGCUAAAACAGAAAUUGGCAUCCCAGAGAGUAAAUUAUAUUCAAGUUUAGGGCAUGUUGCAGCUCUAUAUCUUGCCGUUGCAAGUUGCUUUGCGUUUGAUGUUUGUUCUGGGAUAAAAUAUUGAAUUAUACCUUAAAUUAAUGUUUUGUGAAAUUUAGUUUAAAUAAUUUAGUAGAGAGAUGAGUGCAUAAAGCAUAAUAUUGAAUUAUACCUUAAAUUAAUGUUUUGUGAAAUUUAGUUUAAAUAAUUUAGUAGAGAGAUGAGUGCAUAAAAAAUAGGGAUUUUGAAGCUAAAUAUGUUAUAAAAUUUGUCAUUUUAGUGAAUGCAUUCUUUUCUGCUCGUCCUGGUUGUUGCAAGGAGACAUCAGGCAUUGUAAUGGAUGGAUGACGAUGUGUCACUGGCAUACCUACACCGUGUGCAUUUUCUUGGUGGAUAUCUUGGCCAAAUGUGCAAUAAGACGAGGGAUAUCUUGGGCAAAUAUCUUAUAUAAAUUGGUACGAUUGCUUACCUUAAAUUACUAAAGAAGGAUGAUGUUGUAAGGUUAGUGGAUAUUUAUAAUAGUGAUAAAAUGGGGGUUCCCUAUGAAUAGGAACAAAGUAAGGCUGCCUAAUUAAGUGGAAACAAUAUUGCGCAGUGUAACAAUCUAAAAAUAUGGCGGACUGAAAUCUGUAAAAAUGAUGCAUGUUUAAUUUAAAACAUGCAAAAAUUGCGGCAAAAAUAUGGCGGACUGAAAUCUGUAAAAAUGAUGCCUGUUUAAUUUAAAACAUGCAAAAAUUGCGACAUAAAUCACGAAACAUGCUUCUUACAACUACAUGCUAUGUUUAUAGGAAUUUGAAUAAGUUUUUAGUAGGCAUGAUUUAGGAUUUUUGUUUUAUUUUCUUUUAUGAUUUUCUAUAAAUGCCCCAACUAGUUUAUAUCUAAUACGUAAUGUAUAAUAUAUAGAUUGUAAAUUUUUUGAUCUAGAAAAUAAUAGAGUUCUUAUACAACUACAUGCUGUGUUGGGUUGUUAGGGUUGAAUAAGUUUUUAGUAGGCAUGAUUUAGGAUUGUUUUUAUUUAUGAUUUUCUAUAGACUGUCCCCCCCCCCCCUCGUGGUGGAAGGAUAACAGCCUGUGGCCAUUUGUCACUAAUGCUGCACAGUGACGUAGUCGUAUAAAUAGAUAUAUAGACUGCCCCCUCCCCCCUCGUGGUGGAAGGCGUAACAGCCUGUGGCCAUUUGUCACUAAUGCUGCACAGUGACGUAGUCGUAUAAAUAGAUAUUUAACAGUCUGUGGCCAUUUGUCACUAAUGCUGCACAGUGAUGUAGUCGUAUAAAUAGAUAUAAUAUUGUGCAAUAUUGUGCACUUCAGUGGCUUUCUAAUUUUAUUAUCCAAUCAGGUGUGUUACUUUAAAUAGAACUUAUUGUAUGUAAACAAGGUCAAUAGACAACGUUUGGGACAACAUUGCUUUCUUUAACAUAUAGCAUAAUUUGUCUUCGUCAUUCUGUGCACAAUGAAGUAUUGGGUCAUUCCAGAAAACAUCCAUACCCCCCCCCACGGAGGAAAUAGGAAGUUAACCCCCUACCCCCUUCGGAUGCCCUAAUACAUUUACUAUUAUCAGAAACAAUUUUUUGUCUCCUCCCCCUCCGGACGGCAGAAAUUUCCUCUGUGGGGGGAGUAUGGAUCUAUUCUGGAACGACCCAUUCAAGGCAAAGAAAAUAUGCAAGCAUUAAAUAUUUCCUGCAUUAUUUCUCAAUCCUUGCUCAAUGACAAAAACAUAAAAUUAAAUUUGUAAUAUAGAAAAAUAGAUUUUCUGUAAUAUAUAUUUAUCUGAAACAACCUCAUGCUAUGUACACUUUUGUAAGUUGUCUGUUUGUUUCAAAACUUACAAAAGUGUACAUUAAAACAAGUAAGACUGAAGAAUCAUCUAAAAUUCUUUAUUUUACAAAUACUGUAUAAAUAUACAAUAACAUAACUUAAUUUAUGAGAAUAAAUACAACUAUCAGGAACAACAAGAGAGUGGAGUAGCAAGACUACAAGCAGUGUUACAUUUCAAACAGAUUCUUAGUUUAUAUUGAUAGCAGUAAUGUACCAUCUGUAUAACAUACAGUUGUAAAAUUUGUAACGUCUCUCUGGAGCAGGGGGUGAGCGGAGGUGAGACACUGGGAACGAGGAUGGGCUCAUAUUAAGAGUUUUUUGUAGGGCAUAUAGACGGGGGGACUCAUAUAUGGGGGGGGGGGUAUUCAAAUGUUACAUAUCAAAAUCUAAGUUAGUCCUUUAUGAAUGCAAUAAAACAUUCAAGUAUAGUAGCUUUUGUAGUUUUUGUUACAUUUAAUCAAACAGCACAAGUUGUUUUUUUUUGGGGGGGGCACAGUCUUUCUUUAGGUUGUAAAGCGAUGAUUGGGCUAAGAAAAUUUCAAUACGUCAUUGCUGUUGAAAUGACUUAAUUCAUCACUAAUAAUACGAAAGCUUAUGUUGCUCAUAAUAUACCAUCCAGCGUCUAUUUUUGAGAAAAUUGUUGCACAAACCAUGUUCCAAUGUUUGCGAUGUGACCAUUGCAUAUGGCUGUCAAAAACGUCCAGAUUAGUUAGAUUAUUGUUUUCUAAAACAUUGCGCGGCUCGUGAUUUUAGAACUCUUUUUAUGCUUUAACCCAUUGAGUGGAUCCACUUGACAAGUAAAAUCCUGUGGCGUUAGACAGUAAAAUACUAAAGUAGGGUGCAUCUGGGUGCAAUGCAACUUAAAGGGUUAAAUUAACCAAAAAAAAGUUCAUACAUUUGUUUGAAAAAAGAUUUUAACACAGUACCAUGCCUGUUUGUAUUUCGAAGUUCCUUGAGUUACACAUGAUACUGCAUGUAUAUAUAUAUAUAUAUAUAUAUAUAUAUAUAUUGUUUGAAAAAAGAUUUUAACACAGUACCAUGCCUGUUUGUAUUUCGAAGUUCCUUGAGUUACACAUGAUACUGCAUGUAUAUAUAUAUAUAUAUAUAUAUAUAUAUAUAUAUAUAUAUAUAUAUAUAUAUAUAUAUAUAUAAUAUAAACGAAAAACAUAACCCCGGGGGGGGGGGGGAUAAAACCCUAGUAGGGAACCACCUCCAGACCAAUUUACACUCACCUGCGACAAAAUAGGGAGGUUGUGUGCUUGAUUUGCACAGUGCAAAUGGGACCAUCUGAUGCACAAGACUUUCCUCUUGAUGAGUAAAAUGAUCUGAUAUCAGACAUUUGAAUUCCUUUGCAGCUUAAGGAGUUAAUCCUAUUUAUCUUAGAGAACAGCAAUUCAACUAUCUGGCUGGCUUGACAAAUAACUAUACACCAACAAUGUGUGCAAAGGCAAUUAAGUGUAUCCUUGGAAAAUUUUAUCUGAGAUUAUGCAGAGUUGUUUACAACUUUUUUGUUCAAGCCUAGUGACUUAUUUCAGUACAUGAAAAUCAUCCCACCUUUCAUCCUGUCCUGACAAACUGGGAUCAUGUAAACAGCACAUUUAGCCAUUAAGUUGAUUUGCACUCUAAUUUUCCUCACUUAUAUUAUUUAACUCUGUCUAACGUCAUACAAUUUUAUUAAGCAGGGGGUGCACUGGCAGUUAAUUAAUGAGUAACUAGACACAUGGGCAGUCUCAUUAUGAAGCAUAAAAUCGUCUAGCGUUGGACAGUAAAAUACUCAAGUAGAGCAUGCAUCAGGGCACAGUACAACCUAAUGGUUAAAUUUGUUUUUUGUAGCAAAAUGGUUUAAGUUUUAUAUCUGAAUUUUUUUAUUUUUUUUUUUGCUUUGUUUUACAGAUCAUUACUUGAACGUGCUGAUGAAAUAUUGAUUUAUAAAAUAUCAUGUUACCAAGAUGACAUGCCUCGAAGAGCAAUACAUGAGGGAAUACCUCUAUUUCUAAUCAAAUUACAACAAUACACCAAAGACAGUAGUUCUCGGAUGAAAUGAAAGGAUUGAUAAAUGUUCAUGGCCAGCAGUGGAUAUUUGUGACUAUAAUAAAUGGAUACAAAGAAACUAUGAUGGAUAAAUAUGGCCCCGUAAUGGAUAUUCAGUUGAUGGACAUACAAAGGUCACAGAAAUGUCUAUUUUCAGGUACUGUUCUUUCUUGUUUGCCUGCGAACAGGCUGUAGAUACUUGUAUCCAGGCCAUUGUUUGUUUUUUUUUGUUCUGGGUACAAUGAAAUCCGGCAUAAAUCCUGGCGGUCUAAAUGUUCAGUAUAUUUACAAAUUCGAUCUAUUUUCUGUUCAGUAGACUUUGAUAGCUUGAAAGAAAGUUUAUAACGAUGAUUUUCUCUGCAAAAACUGUACUUUCGAAAUUCGUCGGCUUCUGAAUUUGAUAACCGAUCUGAAAAAAAAAGGAACAUUUGAGUGUAUGGUUAUUGCAUGGUUCUAUAUAUAUUCUAUAUAUACUGCCUUUGUGCACACGCAUAACAAGUGCAGCAACGCAACAGUUUAGACAGGGUCAUGAGGCAGGAUGUGUACAAGAAAAGCUUUGCCAGAGUUUUGUCUUUCGAAAUAGAACGACGAUUGGAAAUUGCUGUUUGAUUCUUUGUAAUAUCUUGUCGCUUGUUAGUGAAAAAGAAAUUUGUCACUUUCCUCAUCUAAGGCCCUGUUACAUGAGACCGGAACGAAGUCAAACCGGGACCAUUUCGUUUCGGUCACAGUAUUAUUUAUAAUAGAUGUUUACAUGAGACCGGGACGAAAAUAACUCAGACCGGUCUCAAGUCAUUCCGCCUGCUGAACCGAACCGACUGACUUCAGACCGGCAUGAAUUCAGACGGGGAUGAAUGUAAACAGAAAUACAUUUCAGACCGGUCUCGCUGUAACCUUGACAUUGGAACAACACACGCUAACAAAAGCCAUCUGAAAAAGAAAAUUGCCCUGGCAAGGGGAAUAAGUUGAAAAUUUUGUGAUUUUCGUACCGGUCUCAUGUAAAGAUAUUGUCAAUUUCAAUUUUCGUCCCGGUCUCAUGUAAACGGGGCCUAAACCUUUUUUUUUCAAAAAACUGGCAUCGUUUGUCUUGGGGUUAGGGGGUACAAAUGGUACCCAUAGCUUAGAGGGUGCAAAUGGUACCCGUAAGAAGACUUGGUGGAAAUCAUGUUGGUCGUUUGGAUCGGCGAGAAUAAGACAAUUAUGGUGGCAAAGUUUUUUUAAACAUUUUCUCUCCCGUAGUAAGGUAAAGCAUGUAUUUUCCUGGUAGCCGGUCUUACUUCAUGAAAAAUAGUCCGCUACCAGUGACUAGGUCCCCUCUCUUAUGGCGGUUAUUCCGGCUCAAUAUCUUCGGGGAUAUUCCUUUUCAGGGCGGUUGCAUGCGGAUAAUAUGGUCCGUCGCGUUCGCAAAAUAGUUAGGGAGUUAGACAGUUUAGAAGCGUCCAAACUGCGCAAUAUACGACACUCGCAUGAAACGUAAAAUACUUUAUAAUAAUUCACAAAAUUGCGAAAACAAAAAAUUGACAAUUUUGCAAUUUGAAUUGUGCGUUUCUGGCAAAUGCCUUUAGAUUAUUCAUUAUUUCUAAUGAAAAGACCGCCAGGGUUAGAGUGUUUUUAUGUGGUUUGUUAAGGAGCAAACUCGCUUUUUAAAAAAAGAAAUGUGUAUUAAUUUCGAUCCAGAUUUGUUCCUGAACAUGGUCGCCAUGAAAACACUCUGUAGAGCAAGCUCAGCGACGUACGGUCAUUAUAGCGUCGUCGGAAGUUUGCAUUCAGCAUUUUCGUUCAAAAUUGAACGUACAUUAUGCUAUGCUAGGGUUGCGUACAAGUUAGGGUGUAGCAAUUCUAAAGGAAUAACUAAUAUGUAUAAAUAGGGUGUGCGCACGAAGUUUUUUUCGCAGGCCUUUAAUAACUUCGGGGAAAA